rnacentral:rRNA from 1 species
GUGGUAGGAUAGUANACGCGUUCCCAUCCCGAACACGACCGUUAAGCCCUCCAGCGCCGAUGGUACUUGGACCGCAGGGUCCUGGGAGAGUAGGA